UCCCUCAUAGCUCAGUUGGUAAACCUGCCUGCAAUGCAGGAGACCCGGGUUUGAUUCCUGGUUUGGGAA
rfam:Ovis aries breed Texel chromosome 8, whole genome shotgun sequence.